GUAGGUGGCAAGCGUUGUCCGGAAUUAUUGGGCGUAAAGCGCGCGCAGGCGGGUCCUUUAAGUCUGAUGUGAAAGCCCACGGGCUCAACCGUGGAGGGUCAUUGGAAACUGGGGGACUUGAGUACAGAAGAGGAAAGCGGAAUUCCAAGUGUAGCGGUGAAAUGCGUAGAGAUUUGGAGGAACACCAGUGGCGAAGGCGGCUUUCUGGUCUGUAACUGACGCUGAGGCGCGAAAGCGUGGGGAGCAAACAGGAUUAGAUACCCUGGUAGUCCACGCCGUAAACGAUGAGUGCUAAGUGUUAGGGGGUUUUCGCCCCUUAGUGCUGCAGCUAACGCAUUAAGCACUCCGCCUGGGGAGUACGGCCGCAAAGGCUG
rnacentral:rRNA from 1 species